AUGACCAGAUCACAUUGAAACACCAAUUCCAGUAUGAUCACCAAAGUUAAGCAAUGUCAAGAAGCCUGGUCAGUACCUAGAUGGGUGACCACUUGGGAAUACCAGGUGCUGUAAG